rnacentral:rRNA from 1 species
UACGUAGGUGGCAAGCGUUGUCCGGAAUUAUUGGGCGUAAAGCGCGCGCAGGCGGUCCUUUAAGUCUGAUGUGAAAGCCCACGGCUCAACCGUGGAGGGUCAUUGGAAACUGAAGGACUUGAGUGCAGGAGAGAAGAGUGGAAUUCCACGUGUAGCGGUGAAAUGCGUAGAGAUGUGGAGGAACACCAGUGGCGAAGGCGACUCUUUGGCCCGUAACUGACGCUGAGGCGCGAAAGCGUGGGGAGCAAACAGG